rnacentral:rRNA from 1 species
UACGUAGGUGGCAAGCGUUGUCCGGAUUUACUGGGCGUAAAGAGCGCGCAGGCGGUCGUUCAAGUCGGGUGUGAAAGCCCCCGGCUCAACUGGGGAGGGUCACGCGAUACUGCUCGACUCGAAGGCAGGAGAGGGAAGUGGAAUUCCCGGUGUAGUGGUGAAAUGCGUAGAUAUCGGGAGGAACACCAGUGGCGAAGGCGACUUCCUGGCCUGUUCUUGACGCUGAGGCGCGAAAGCUAGGGUAGCAAACGGG